AAAAACGAAAAAAAAAAUUUAAAAUGCAGCAUUACAGAAGCUUUUUUUUUUUCUUAGGUUCCUGUUGCUGGAGUAGCUUUGGUUUUGUGGAAUGCUUGGUAAUUUUUGCAUCAGUUUGUUCCUGGCUGGUUUGGGUUUUGUGGAAGGUCAAAGCAUUUUGGUAGAACAAAAGAGUUUGGUAAAAGACAGACAAGAACCCAGCAUCCUCCCCAGCUUCUGGAGGUGGGAAUAAACCCCUACUGUUGGUCACACCCUCCAUGAAACCCAAAAAUUCUAAUUCCCUAGGAUUUAGGGAAUCCUGGAAGCUGAACUCGUGUCUUGCUUCUGGAAAUCUUUUUAUUUUUUUGGUUUAUUUUUCCAUGGGGAGCUGCUGCUGCUGCCUGGCUCUCUUUGGGAUCCUGGAUUUUCAGAGUUCCUGGCAGGAGCAGCUCGUGGAAGCAGAAAAAUGGCCCAUGGUUCUAGAGACCUUGGUGUUCUGUCUUUCCUAGUAAAAAGAGGGUGAUGAGGAAUUUUGGGGUUUUUUUAGCAGCAGCUUUAGGUUUAGAGCUUUGUUUCAGACCUGUCCUCAGCAGGGGAUGCAAUUCCUGUGCCCAGAUUUUGGCACAUUCAAGCUCUGUUUUGCAGUAGGAAGGGAUAGAAUCCCUGGAGUUGGACAAUUCCUUGUUUUCACUUGGAGCAUCCCCAGGCUUCACACCCACGGAAUCUUUGGGGUGAUGGAGUGCUGUGUGAGAGCAGAAGGGCUUUGGUUGGGAUAUUUUCCCCUCUGAUGCAUUUUCAGACCUCAGCUAUCUCACAAAUGGAACAUUUUGGGUUUUUGAUGCUGAUUCUGAGGGCAGUGAAGCUGCUGAGGUGCAGAUCUCCCUUCUCCAGCUUCCCCCAGCCCAGGGAGUCCUGGGGGUCCCAGCUGGGCUGGGUGGGAGUGAAAGGCUCUGCUCCCCUCCUGGAGCUUUUCCUCCCGCUGAGAUCAGCUCUGCCCCUCUCUUGUGGGUUCAUUCCUUUAUUUACCUUGUUUUGCUCCUGUUUUCUGGCAGUUUUUGAUGUGCUCUGCAGUUGAACCUCUCCCAUUUUUAAGGCAGAUUUGUUUCCAGUCCAUCUCAGUGUCAGCUCUGGAAAUCAACCUCAGCAGUGGGUCAGGGAAUGUUGUUAAAAUCCACAGGAACUUAGAAACUUUUGAGUUGUGGGUGAGUGUUUUGGUUUGUUUUCUUCCUCAGGUCUGUGAGGAAUAGAAUCUGGAUCUGGAAGAGUAGAAAUGGGAAAAAAGAAAAUAAGAGACCUUUUGUCUCUGAGCUGGUGGGAUGGGGUGGUUUUGUCUUCAAAAUCAGAGAGUGGGGUGUUGCAAGCAGCCCCUGAGAGGAGCCCAAAAUUCUUGAAUAUUCACUCAGGAGCUCUCCAGGGUGUUUGAUGAGGGUGGUGCUGCCUAAACAGAGGUUUAUGGGUUGAUUUGGAGUUAAUUAAGCAGCAAUUAGCAGUGGCUGUUGAGUGUGAGCAGAUCCAGGGGAGUGGGACAGGUUGGAGCUGCUGGAAUCACAGCUGGCAGAGGAAGAUUUUGGGAUCAAAUGCAGUUGAUCCCAAAAGUUUUACGUCCCUUUGCCUUGGGGAAUGCUUAUUCCCCUCUGCUUUUAGAGCUGAGAAGUUGAUUUGGAAUAAUAAAGCUGGAAAAAAAUAAAAAAGGGAGAAAAAUCUAGGGAGACACAGCAGUUGUGUGCGAGAUCUGGAAUUCAUCUGGGGGUGAAUCCUUCUCCAGCAGGAAUUCUGGGAGGUCAGAAUCCUGGGAAUCAGCACACAUCCAGCAGCAGCUGCUCCAGCUUCCCUGGGCUGGGCAGGUUUUUUUUUUGUGUCUUGGAGGCAUUUAAAUCAAUUUCAAUCCAUUUUUAGCCACUCCAGCACCCCCACCCAGCUGUGUGUGUUGUCCUGUUCAUUCCUGGAGUGCACAUCUGGUUUGGGAAGGUGAUUUUGGGGUGGUUCCUUGCUGGAAUUUUCAUGCUGAGCUGGAUUCUUGGCAGUUUUUUGGGAGCUGGGAGCAGAUCCCUCCCUCUGGAAUUCUGGGCUGGAGUUUUGCCUUUCCCAGUUUUACCUGGCUGGGAUUUUCAGAACAAUCAGUGGGGGAAACUCCCCUGAAAGCAGCAGAAAGGGGGAACAUUUCCAGUGGCUCUUUCCAGAACAGAGUUGCAUUUUUCUUUUCUCUAUAAAUAUAUAUAAAUAUAUAUAUAUAUAUUACAAAUUCAAGAGGCAAAGUUAUGUUGUAGUGAGUGUCUGAAACUUCCUACACUGGAGACUUUUCUGGACAAGACAACUGUAAAAGUCACCCCUUGUUCCAGCCAGGUGACCCUGCCUGGGACAGAAUUGCUUCUCAGUCUAACUUUUUAUUUUUAAAUACCUUAUUAGAGUAUCUUAAUGCCAUUGUGUUUAAAAAAAAAAAAUGCUGGUAUGUAAUGCAAGUACAUAAAUAGCCAAAGUUUUCAGUAAUUGUUCAGUGUUACUAAAUUUUGCUUUUAUUUAACCUUCUGAGAUAACAUUUAGGAAGACCUUCAGCGUGGAAAUCAUCCUGAAAAUUCAGAGUAUGAGCAACUGGAUUAGGGCAGGGAUGGAGUUGUUUGAGCACAUUUCAGGUUUGAAUACAAUCAGGAGGCAAAGCUUUUUAAGAUGCAAAACUUUCUUUGCACUGUCCUGACACUUCAAAGUGACAAAUGCUGCUUUGGCAGUGGCUCUUUGGGAAUUGUUAUUCAAACAUCAUGAAGGUCUUUCCUGAGAAAUCAGGUGACUUUUUUAUUGCUUCGAUUUUUGUGCAAAAAAAAAAAAAAAAAUACAAAAAAAUAAAAAUAAAAAUCAAUGUAUUGCAAUCUUUUUUUUUUUAAAAAUGGGGUGGGAAUAGUUAAAGAAAACUAUUUUAUGUAAGAACUGACAGAGGGAUUUUGCUUUGUAUAAUGCAAGCUGGCUUUAAAAAAAGCAUUGUAGCAAAUUAUUCAAGUCAAUCAUAUGUUAAUAGUUAUGUGCAACCAGACAUGCAAAACAAUUGUAUUUUUUUAAAUAAAUAUUUUUAACAAA